rnacentral:lncRNA from 1 species
AGAACCAGACCAGGGGACAGGAGGUCCUGUGUUCAAAUGUGACCUCAGACACUUCCCAGCUGUGUGACCCUGAGCAAGCCACUUAACAUUAAUUGCCUAGCCCUUACCACUCUUCUUCUUUGGCACUGGCAUUCUAAGAUAGAAGGUUCCAUUCUGAUGCUUCCCUCUCUGUGA